rnacentral:rRNA from 1 species
UACGUAGGUGACAAGCGUUGUCCGGAAUUACUGGGCGUAAAGCGUGCGUAGACGGUUAUGUAAGUCGCGUGUGAAAGCCCCCCGGCUCAACUGGGGAGGGUCACGCGAUACUGGUCGACUCGAAGGCAGGAGGGGGUAGUGGAAUUCCCGGUGUAGUGGUGAAAUGCGUAGAUAUCGGGAGGAACACCAGUGGCGAAGGCGACUACCUGGCCUGUUCUGACGCUGAGGCGCGUAAAGCUAGGGGCAAACGGG